rfam:Triticum aestivum genome assembly, contig: Triticum_aestivum_CS42_TGACv1_scaffold_407090_5BL
CAUCUACUCCCUCCGUCCGAAAAUACUUGUCAUCAAAAUGGAUAAAAGAAGUUGUAUCGUACGAUACAACUUUUUUUAUCCAUUUUGAUGACAAGUAUUUUCGGACGGAGGGAGUACUAU